rnacentral:sRNA from 1 species
AUUAUUAUUAUUAUGAGCGUUGAUAUACCUCUAUUUUUUACUGCUUUUAGCUAUGAUUGAGGUAUAGGUUAUAAAGUCUAUUUGUUAUUCCUAAAGUCUUUUCUAGUCAUUUUCAGGUUUUUACAUGUUUGGGAUGCAUUUGGAGUUUAUGGAUCAUUAUGGAGGAAAACAGAGAACUUAUGCUGCAGAAGAAAUCCGGAGACCAAAAAAUCACGAAGGUGUCGAGCGACACCAAUACCUGACGACAAUUAAAAUACGCAACUUGUUGAAGUUUUGAAGAUUUCUAAAUUUGUCCCAGAACGUUUCCUUAUUUUUAAAGAAAUCCCUGCACGUUUUAGGACAUAUAUAUUAAUAUAUAUAUAUAUAUAUA